CUCCGCCUCCCACUCACUGUGCGGGCUCGGUUCGCACAGGCCACCUUCCGGUUGGGGAGUUUUAGGGCCAGGGCAUCUGCGCUAAUGAUUGCCCCGGGGGUGCCGGGCCGCUUUGUGGAGACAGAUGGUUCAGAUUUAGCCCCUUUUUGCGCCGCCCACGGCGGCCGCGCAAAGAAGUCAAGCAGCUGCUUGUCCGGCCCUGCCCAGCAUUUCGUGGCGCUCGGUGGCCCCGGGUUGGGUGCCCGAGAGGGACCUGCUCCUCACUAUUCCUAGGGGUCUGACUGUAUCCAUUUGAGGGCUGGGUGGUUUCUGUUGGUAGUGGUGGGAUUUCUUUCCCAUCUAGAUCUCCUACCAAUUUCUUUAAGCUGUUGCUCAAAUAAACAUCUAUUAUAUGUAACUGAAAGACGAUUCAGCGCAUCUGGUGUCGUGAAAAUGAAAGGGGCAGCAAGUGAGAGGAACUGAUUUUGGCCUUUGGAAUGAGCCUGCUGUGUAGCGGUGCGCUGGAGGGGACUAUUUGUCUCUGCCGGCUUCGGUUUCAUACUAGAGGGAUUUGUUUGGGCACGGUGCGCCUAAAGGCACAGAUACCUCGAAGCUGCAUUUGCGUUUUGCUUGAUCGGUUUAGUUUCUACUGAAAUUGUGUGGAAAGGCCUGAGAUGUUUGCUAUAGUCUACCACCCCCUCUCUACUCCCAUCACUCUGGGCACACAUUACUUUUGGCAAUUCCCCGGUAAAGUUUGCCCACUAAAAUUGUGUAGGUUUCUUCAAAUUGUUUAAGAAGAUCAGGAAAAGGGGGCACAGGACAAUAGGAAAGGUCAUCGUGAAGUUUCCAAGGUCAUAUGUCUCAAGGAACUAAAUCCGAUUUUCUUGCACUUCAUAACUCUAUUCAAACAUCUGGCCCCUAAAUCUGAUAAAACAUUGGUGAAUGACAGAAGAACCUGUUUUACGCAUGGGGCUUGAGGGAUACCUCCAAUGUUCCAUAAAUAAUAGUUACUGUAAUAAUUGUGAGUUCUUAUCUGUACAUCCCAGAUCUGAAUACUAAUCCAAACAAAAGCUUAUUAACUAUAUUAAUUUAGCUUAACCGAGGAAGAAUGAUGAGAAUAAACAGUUUGUUCUAUCCAAUUUCUCACUACAGCAGACACAUCAUUCUUCAUCUCCAUGGUCCAGUCUGUGGAUUCAAUAAUUAAAUUAUGUACUGCUCUUGGCGAAUGCCCGGAAAGCAAAAGAGAAAGAUGCUUCAUUGUUAACUAUAGAUUUUUGGGUGGCCUUAAUAAAAUUCAGACUUGAAAGAGCAAUAUAGAUUAAGAUGGUGAUUUUUAAUGUCAAAUGGACUUUCCUUGACUGUCUUGUUGCCAAUAAAAUGUAUUAUAC
rnacentral:lncRNA from 1 species